rnacentral:rRNA from 1 species
AGUGAACGCUGGCGGCGUGCUUAACACAUGCAAGUCGAACGAGAACGGAAUAUAGCUUGCUAUAUUUGUCAGCUAAGUGGCACACGGGUGGGUAAUGUAUAGAUAACCUGCCCUUAAGAAAGGAAUAACAGUUGGAAACGACUGCUAAUGCCCUAUAUGCCUUUAAUACAUAAGUAUGCAAGGGAAACGCUUUAGUGCUUAAGGAUGGGUCUGUAUGGUAUCAGCUUGUUGGUGAGGUAACGGCUCACCAAGGCUAUGACGCCUAACUGGUUUGAGAGGAUGAUCAGUCACACUGGAACUGAUACACGGUCCAGACUCCUACGGGAGGCAGCAGUGGGGAAUAUUGCACAAUGGACGAAAGUCUGAUGCAGCAACGCCGCGUGGAGGAUGACAUAUUUCGGUGCGUAAACUCCUUUUAUAUAGGAAGAUAAUGACGUUACCCGCAGAAGAAGCACCGGCUAACUCCGUGCCAGCCGCCGCAGUAA